rnacentral:lncRNA from 1 species
CUGACUCCUCUCCUGUCCCCUCUCCAGCUGUCCCCGGCCCUGCUGCAGCCAGAGGUCACUGUUGUGGCCAUCCUGGGUGAGCUGCUGGGCACCCUGCCCAGGCAGGACGAGGAGAUGAAUCUGCUCGUGUUCCCAGGGUGCCUGUAUGGGUAUCUGGAAGUUUUCACCAGCAACCUCUGGGACACCCUCUACAGCACUGAUGACACCUGGAGGCAAUGUCACAUCAGAUGAUGAUGACCCUGUCACCUCCCUGAGCCGGGCCCUGGCUGCCUACAAGAGCACCCCAGGGAUCCCCCGGAACCAUGUGACAAUGGCAGCCAGCGAGUGGCAGGGGUCGGUGUCUGUGCUGAUGAAUAGCUGGGCUGAGCUGGCCAGGACAGCCACUGAGCUCCACAGCACCUGCAGGGAUUUGGCCACCAAGGCGGCCGACAGGGCGGCCACAGCCACCACCUGGGCCAGGGAGCUGCAGGAAGAGGCUGCCUGUGAUGGGACAGCUCAGGAAAACAUGGUGGAGCUGGGUCAGGCCCUGGGCUGGGAGGAGGGGGCCGAGGUGGUGGCUGGGCAUGGAGCCCAGGUGAGGAGAGAGGCCAGGGUGGCUGCCAGCGAGUAAACAAGGGCCACCAUGGUGAGACAGCGGGUGGAGGUGGCCCUGGGGCUGCUGGAGCGCUUGGUGGCCGCGUGUGACGAAGCCACUGCGUUCCCCCAGGAGCUGUGGCGCCUGCUCAGGGACAUCGAUGCCACCCUGGAGGGGACAAAUGAGGUGUCCCCUGAGGUCCCCUAGGACUUGGUGGCCAAGGUGGCCGUGGCCGAGCAGCUGUGGGAGGCCAAGACACACCUAGUCAAGGAUCACCUGCUGGGGGCAGUUGAUGACAUCAUCAAGGUCUAUUUCACUGGUGGUCCUGCCUGCCCCAGUGCCUGUGAGGUGGCUUAGCAGUGCCAAUGAGGCAUCGAGGACAUCCCAAGGCUCCUUCGACCCCCAGAAUGUCCCCAGAGCAUCCCCAGUGUGUCCCCAGUGAGCAUGGAGCUCCAAGAGGUGCGANAACAAGGGCCACCAUGGUGAGACAGCGGGUGGAGGCGGCCCUGGGGCUGCUGGAGCGCUUGGUGGCCGCGUGUGACGAAGCCACCGCAUUCCCCCAGGAGCUGCAGCGGCUGCUCAGGGACAUCGAGGCCACCCUGGAAGGGACAAAUGAGGCACCCCCCACUGUCCCUGAGGACUUGGUGGCCAAGGUGGCCGUGGCUGAGCAGCUGUGGGAGGCCAACGCCCCCCUGGCCAAGGAUCACCUGGGGAAGACUCUUCCAGACACCAACGAAUUCUUGUUCACUGAUGGUCCCAACAGCCCCAGUGCCUGUGAGCUGGCCAAGCAGUGCCAAAGAGUCAUCGAGGACAUCCCAAGGCUCGUUCAAUCCCCAGUGUCCCCAGAGCGUCUCCAAAGUGUCCCCAGUGAGCAUGGAUCCCCAAGAGGUGUCCCUGGCCCUGCUGCAACCACAGGUCACAAUGGCGGCCAUCCUGGGCGAGCUGCUGGCCACCCUGCCCAGUCGUGAUGAGAUGAAUCUGCUGCUCACGCCCUCAAGGCACAUGUACUCGCACCUAUGGUCAUUCAGCUGGCAGCUCAAGGCCAUCCGGGACUGCAUUGAAGUCCCCUGGUGGCGCCACAAUGAUGAUGAAGCGCCUACGAUGAUGAAGACCCUUUCACCUCCCUGAGCCGGGCCCUGUUCGUCGGAGAGAAACCCCCAGGGCCCCCCCAAAAGCGUGUGACAAUGGCAGCCAGGAAGUAGCACAAGUCGGUGGUUCCGCUUGUGAACAGCUGGGCCCAGCUGGCCAGGACGGCCACCAAACUCCGCAACACCUGCAGGGAUUUGGCCACCAAGGCGGCCGACAGGGCAGCCACCACCACUACCCGGGCCAAGGAGCUGCAGGACACGGCUGCCCAUGAUGGGACAGCUCAGGAAAACAUGGUGGAGCUGGGUCAGGCCCUGGGCUGGGAGGAGGGGGCCGAGGUGGUGGCCGGGCAUGGAGCCCAGGUGAGGAGAGAGGCCAGGGUGGCUGCCAGUGAGGCAACAAGGGCCACCAUGGAGAGACAGCGGGUGGAGAUGGCCCUGGGGCUGCUGGAGCGCUUGGUGGCCGCAUGUGACGAAGCCACUGCGUUCCCCUGGGAGCUGCAGCGCCUGCUCAGGGACAUCAAGACCACUCUGAAGGGGACAACUGAGGCACCCCCCACUGUCCCUGAGGACUUGGUGGCCAAGGUGGCCGUGGCUGAGCAGCUGUGGGAGGACAAGGCCCGCCUGGUCAAGGAUCACCUGCUCGGGACAGUUCGAGACAUCAUCAAGUUGUAUAUCGAUAGUGGUCCUGCCCACCUCAGUGCCCACCCCAGCCAUGGGGUGGCUGUGCGGUGCCAAAGAGCCAUCGAGGACAU